UGGGGAAUUUUGCACAAUGGGGGAAACCCUGAUGCAGCGACGCCGCGUGAUUUAGAAGGCCUUCGGGUUGUAAAAAUCUUUUCUAUGGGAAGAAAAUGACAGUACCAUAGGAAUAAGGACCGGCUAAGUACGUGCCAGCAGCCGCGGUAAUACGUAAGGUCCGAGCGUUGUCCGGAAUCAUUGGGCGUAAAGGGUACGUAGGCGGGUAAGCAAGUUAGAAGUGAAAUCCUAUAGCUCAACUAUAGUAAGCUUUUAAAACUGCUCAUCUUGAGGUAUGGAAGGGAAAGUGGAAUUCCUAGUGUAGCGGUGAAAUGCGCAGAUAUUAGGAGGAAUACCGGUGGCGAAGGCGACUUUCUGGCCAUAACCUGACGCUGAGGUACGAAAGCGUGGGUAGCAAACAGG
rnacentral:rRNA from 1 species